rnacentral:tRNA from 2 species
CCGAUGUAGCUCAGCUGGCUAGAGCAGCUGAUUUGUAAUCAGCAGGUCGGGGGUUCGAGUCCCUUCAUCGG